rnacentral:lncRNA from 1 species
AUGUUUGAUCAGUUAUUUAUUAAACAAAUUAGCUGUGCUUUCUGCUUUGAUCCUGCCUGCUGUGUCUGGCUCCUGCUUCAUUGCUUUUACCUGUGUUGUUUCUCUCUGUCCUAAGGGCACUAGCACCACAAAUAGGAAAGAAAGAUUUGAAAGCCAUUCUUAAAACAGCCAAUCAAAGCUACAAUGAAUACCUGCUUAGGUACUAUUCCAAAUAUGUUGCAUGGAUUAAUUUAUUUAAUCCCAUAGUAUGGAUACUUCUCAUAUGUUACCUCUUUUAAUUUUUAUAAAACAGUGAUAGACUGGAUUAAGAAAAUGUGGCAUAUAUAUACCAUGGAAUACAAUGCAGCCAUAAAAAAUGAUGAGUUCAUGUCCUUUGCAGGGACAUGGAUAAAGCUGGAAACCAUUAUUCUGAGCUGGAAACCAUUAU